rnacentral:rRNA from 1 species
AGGUAGCAUAAUCAUUAGUUUUUUAAUUGGAAACUUGUAUGAAUGGUUGGACAAGGAAGAGACUGUCUCUUUUAUUAAAGUUGAAUCUAACUUCUAAGUGAAAAGGCUUAGAUUUUCUAGGGGGACGAUAAGACCCUAUAAAGCUUUAUAAGUUCAAGAAUUUUACAUAUUUUUUUAUAAAAGUAAACUUCCAAAGAUUUAUUUGAUUGGGGCGAUAAUAGUAUAAUGAGAGUAACUGCUUUUAGGUAAAACAAAAAUUUUUGAGUUAUGAUUAAUUGAUCCUUUUUAAAGAUUUUAAGAUCAAGUUACUUUAGGGAUAACAGCGUUAUUUUUCCUGAGAGUCCUUAUCAAAGGAAAAGUUUGCGACCUCGAUGUUGAAUUAAAAUGUCUAUAUAGUGCAGCAGCUAUAAAAGAAGGUCUGUUCGACCUUUAAUAUUUUACAUGAUUUGAGUUCAGACCGGCGGGAGCCAGGUCGGUUUCUAUCUCUUGGAAAGUAAAAGAUCAUUUUAGUACGAAAGGAUUGAAUGAUUAAAAAUUUUUUAAUAAUUGAAAU